GAACUCUGGUCCUACAAAUCUCAGUCUGGGUUCUGUUGAAGUGAACUCUGGUGUAGGUCCAAUGCAAAAGUGAACACCAAGCGGAAUGGAGACCGCUUCAAAAGCAGGAAUUUGACUACAGCACGAGGCAUUCUGGGAAAAAAACCCAAAACAA